UCUACGGGUGGCAGCAGUGAGGAAUAUUGGUCAAUGGGCGGGAGCCUGAACCAGCCAAGUCGCGUGAGGGAAGACGGUCCUACGGAUUGUAAACCUCUUUUGCCGGGGAGCAACGGGGUCCUUGCGAGGGCCCGAUGAGAGUACCCGGAGAAAAAGCAUCGGCUAACUCCGUGCCAGCAGCCGCGGUAAUACGGGGUAUGCGAGGGGUAUCCGGAUUUAUUGGGUUUAAAGGGUGCGUAGGCGGUCCGUUAAGUCAGCGGUAAAAUUGCGGGGCUCAACCCCGUCGAGCCGUUGAAACUGGCAGACUUGAGUUGGCGAGAGGUACGCGGAAUGCGCGGUGUAGCGGUGAAAUGCAUAGAUAUCGCGCAGAACUCCGAUUGCGAAGGCAGCGUACCGGCGCCAGACUGACGCUGAGGCACGAAAGCGUGGGGAUCGAACAGGAUUAGAUACCCGUGUAGUC
rnacentral:rRNA from 1 species